rnacentral:rRNA from 1 species
GGAUUCCCCCAGUAAUGGCGAGUGAAGUGGGAAGAGCUCGAGCCUGAAAUCCCCGGCGCCACRGCCGGAGAAUUGUGGCCGGGAGAGGCAGCCUGUGCCCUGGCUGGCGCCGUCGAAGUUGACCUGGAAAGGAACGUCGGAGAGGGUGAGAGCYCCGUACGCUACGCCGCCAGCUUGGGCCGUUACUGUCUUUGGAGAGUCGGGUUGUUUGGGAAUGCAGCCCAAAGUGGGAGGUAGACUCCAUCUAAAGCUAAAUACUGGCACGAGACCGAUAGCGAACAAGUGCCGUGAGGGAAAGGUGAAAAGUACUUUGAAAAGAGAGUCAAAAAGACCGCUUUAGGAGGGAAACRAAUACGGCAGAAGUGGCUCCCCGUCAGGGUCAGGAGAGGUCGGUCGGGUCCGGAGACUGCGCAGUUGCUUGCCGCGCCGCCGACCGAUCUGCACUUCUGCGGGGAGCCGGCCAACGGCAGUUGCUCCYGGCCCACGAGGGCGCCGCGGGUAGGUGGCCCCGCGUUUCCGCGUGGGGACCUUACAGCCCGGCGUCUGGACCUUCCGGGACGCGACUGAACGAGUCUCUUUGAUCGCACCAGCAGCGCAGGCCUCCCCCUUCACGGGGGGAGGCUGGGCCGCUCCAGCCCGGUGGGCGGCCGCGAUGGCCAUGGUCUGUCGACGGUYYCGUCCGCCGGGAGGGUGGUCGGUCGCACCCUGCGCUGCGGUCGUUGGUGCCCGAAUGGCCGCAUCCGACCCGUCUUGAAACAC